rnacentral:rRNA from 1 species
AGCGAACGCUGGCGGCAGGCUUAACACAUGCAAGUCGAGCGGGCAUAGCAAUAUGUCAGCGGCAGACGGGUGAGUAACGCGUGGGAACGUACCUUUUGGUUCGGAACAACUGAGGGAAACUUCAGCUAAUACCGGAUAAGCCCUUACGGGGAAAGAUUUAUCGCCGAAAGAUCGGCCCGCGUCUGAUUAGCUAGUUGGUGCGGUAAUGGCUCACCAAGGCGACGAUCAGUAGCUGGUCUGAGAGGAUGAUCAGCCACAUUGGGACUGAGACACGGCCCAAACUCCUACGGGAGGCAGGAGUGGGGAAUAUUGGACAAUGGGCGCAAGCCUGAUCCAGCCAUGCCGCGUGAGUGAUGAAGGCCCUAGGGUUGUAAAGCUCUUUUGUGCGGGAAGAUAAUGACGGUACCGCAAGAAUAAGCCCCGGCUAACUUCGUG